GACGAACGCUGGCGGCGCGCCUAACACAUGCAAGUCGAACGAGCGAGAGAGAGCUUGCUUUCUCGAGCGAGUGGCGAACGGGUGAGUAACGCGUGAGGAACCUGCCUCAAAGAGGGGGACAACAGUUGGAAACGACUGCUAAUACCGCAUAAGCCCACGGUGCCGCAUGGCACAGAGGGAAAAGGAGCAAUCCGCUUUGAGAUGGCCUCGCGUCUGAUUAGCUAGUUGGUGAGGUAAUGGCCCACCAAGGCGACGAUCGGUAGCCGGACUGAGAGGUUGAACGGCCACAUUGGGACUGAGACACGGCCCAGACUCCUACGGGAGGCAGCAGUGGGGAAUAUUGCACAAUGGGGGAAAACCUGAUGCAGCGACGCCGCGUGGAGGAAGAAGGUCUUCGGAUUGUAAACUCCUGUUGUUGGGGAAGAUAAUGACGGUACCCAACAAGGAAGUGACGGCUAACUACGUG
rnacentral:rRNA from 1 species